GUCCUAGCUUUGAUAGUACAUAUACUGAAAUUGGCAUGAUACAGAGAAGAUUAUCAUGGCCCCUGCUCAAGGAUUACACACAAAUUCAUGAAGUGUACCAUAUUUUU
ensembl:snRNA U6 U6 spliceosomal RNA